rnacentral:rRNA from 1 species
UACGGAGGGUGCGAGCGUUGUCCGGAAUCACUGGGCGUAAAGGGUGUGUAGGUGGCGCCGUAAGUCGGGUGUGAAAUUUCGGAGCUUAACUCCGAAACUGCAUUCGAUACUGCAGUGCUUGAGGACUGGAGAGGAGACUGGAAUUCAUGGUGUAGCAGUGAAAUGCGUAGAGAUCAUGAGGAAGACCAGUGGCGAAGGCGGGUCUCUGGACAGUUCCUGACACUGAGACACGAAGGCCAGGGGAGCAAACGGG